rnacentral:rRNA from 1 species
UACGGAGGGGGCUAGCGUUGCUCGGAAUGACUGGGCGUAAAGGGCGCGUAGGCGGAUGGCACAGUCAGAUGUGAAAUUCCCGGGCUUAACCUGGGGGCUGCAUUUGAUACGUGUGAUCUAGAGUGAGGAAGAGGGUCGUGGAAUUCCCAGUGUAGAGGUGAAAUUCGUAGAUAUUGGGAAGAACACCGGUGGCGAAGGCGGCGACCUGGUCCUUGACUGACGCUGGAGGCGCGAAAGCGUGGGGAGCAAACAGG